rnacentral:rRNA from 1 species
GGAAGUAAAAGUCGUAACAAGGUUUUUUGAAAGGAAAAAAAUGUACAAGGUUUCCGUAGGUGAACCUGCGGAAGGAUCAUUGUCGAAACCACUGCGAGAGCAGAACGACCCGCGAACUCGUGACACUGCCCCGAGCGUCUCCCCGGGUGCGGGAUCCGUCCCGUUCCCCGGGGGCGCACAACGAACCCCCGGCGCGGACUGCGCCAAGGAAAUCUAACGAGAGAGCACGCUCCCGGUGCCCCGGGACGCGGCGCCUUCUUUCACUGUAUCUAUAACGACUCUCGGCAACGGAUAUCUCGGCUCUCGCAUCGAUGAAGAACGUAGCGAAAUGCGAUACUUGGUGUGAAUUGCAGAAUCCCGUGAACCAUCGAGUCUUUGAACGCAAGUUGCGCCCCAAGCCUUUAGGCCGAGGGCACGUCUGCCUGGGUGUCACGCACCGUUGCCCCACCCCGCCCCCUCCCCGGGGGACCGGCGGUGCGGGCGGAAACUGGCCUCCCGUGCGCUCCCCGCUCGCGGUUGGCCCAAAUCCGAGUCUCCGGCGAACGGAGCCGCGGCCAUCGGUGGUGGAAACGCACCUCUCGAGCUCGCGCCGCGCUCCCGUCUCUCCGAUUCGGGACUCAGGGACCCUGACGCUCCGCGCUAGCGGCGCUCGCAUCGCGACCCCAGGUCAGGCGGGAUCACCCGCUGAGUUUAAGCAUAUCAUAACCCCGGAAGGAAAGUUUAAGGCAUAUCAAUAAGCGGAGGA